rnacentral:tRNA from 1 species
GAGGGGGUAGCUCAAAAUGGUCAGAGUGGUACAUUUUUUGUGCAGGUUUUCGGUUCGAGUCCGAACCCCUUCC